rnacentral:rRNA from 1 species
UACAGAGGUCUCAAGCGUUGCUCGGAUUCAUUGGGCGUAAAGGGCGUGUAGGCGGGUCAGUAAGUCGGGCGUGAAAUCCCUGGGCUCAACCCAGGAACUGCACUCGAAACUACUAUUCUUGAGUGUCGGAGAGGAAAGCGGAAUUCCUGGUGUAGAGGUGAAAUUCGUAGAUAUCAGGAGGAACACCAGUGGCGAAGGCGGCUUUCUGGACGAUAACUGACGCUGAGACGCGAAAGCGUGGGGAGCAAACAGG